rnacentral:lncRNA from 1 species
GAUUCCCUUGUUUGCAAAGCGGAGGCGGGAGGAGAUAAUGGGGCCGGAGGGUUGUUAACUACGUUGCAUUGACUUAGAGAAGCUAAUGACAAGCUGAGAGCAAUUAGACAAUCGAAAACUAAGUGUGAGAGCCAACAAGUCUCAUCAGCAGCUUCAAGGAAAGCCUCCGGUCUGGCAGAAGCGCAAGGAAAACCCAAGUUCAAAUUCAGACUUGAGAGCCCGAAUGGCUGAACGUCACAGACGCCUGAGCGCUCAGCUGGGGGCAGGACAGUGGCGGCAACAACGUCAGGAGCCUGGUUGGGACCCCAGGACCCCCAGGGGGCAAGGACUCCUUCAGAGAACUUUCACCGCCUGAGCCUGCAGCAGGGAGAGCCAGCCUCCCCCCCCCGCCCCCCGCCCCAGGGAAGCCAUGCAGAAUUCUGCCCCCAAGAGACAGCAGGUGUCUGUCCCCAUACCGUCCCCUCCCCCUUACCAGCCUCCAUGCCUGUAACCAGAAUUAAGUCACAACACAGCUGGGACAGUUCUGGAGGAAAGGGGCUGCCUCUCAGAGGAGCAGCAGGGCUCAGCGGGCAUGGGCAGCAGAAGCGGGGAGGGGUGCCUGCGGGGUUGGUGCCCGGGUGCUCCCUGCAUGGCUGUCGCCGUGACUGGACUGAGCAGCUCCCCUGGUCUAAGAAGGAACAGCAACGGGGCUCAGACCUUCAGGACCGAGGGUGUGGGUCACACCCCCAGGAAGGUCCCUGGGACCUGCAGGUGACAGCUGAGGAGGGGAGCAGGCUGGACAGUGGAGGCCCGAGACCAGCGGCACCAACUGGGGAGGUACGUCCGUGGACCUCCUUCUGUCUCCCCCAGGAUGACGGGCUGGGGUCCCCCCCCACAUGCAAGGGAGGGGAACCGUGGGCACGGGGACGGGGCACGUGUGUCCCAGGGAACUCCCUGCCAAAAGUGACUCCAUGGGAGUUCCCUGGUAGGCUAGUUGUUAGGAUUCUGCGCCUUCACCGCUGUGGUCCAGGCUUAGCCCCUGGUCUGGGAAUUGAGAUCCCACAUCAAGACGCUGUGGCCAAAAGUUAAUUAAUGAAUUAAUGAAAAAAAGAGAGACGCUCUGCCCAACACAAGAGCUGGGCUGACAGCCCCCUGCCAUUGGCUCUUGGGGUCCACCCCAGAUCUCAGGGAGUGCCGCAGUCAGCCGCCAAGCGAGGCUGUGGUCUGAGGCCUUGCGUGGCCCUCCCCCCGGACUCCAGAAGUCCCCUGGGAACCCUUUGGAGCCUCACUCUUCGAAGCAUCUGCUUCUCUGAGACCGUCCCACUUGGCUGCUCUGUGAUGACAGGCAGGCAGGCAGGGAGGGUUGGUUCGUUCACUCUGCGAGUAUUUGGGGAGGCACGCUGGAGGCCAAGGCCACCCCAUCCCGGUUUGCACCUGGCUCUAGUAGGAUGCUGGGCAUGGUUCUGAACUGCCCUGUCCUCGCCCCCUGUCCAGGCAACGGGAUCAUGUAGCGCUCGCUCCAGAGGGCGGCAAACCACUCUUCGGUCCAAUUUAAAUGACUCCCAAUUGUGAAUCACUGCUCUGGACGGAUAGAGAGCCAGGUGACAAAACGUUAGCAGCCCUCAAAGCACCAGACCCAGGUUUUAGAGGGAAAUUCUGCCAGAUGUUUGAGAAACAAUUAAAAUGGUUAUUUAAAAUUUUCCAGAACAUAGGGAGUUCCUGUUGUGGCACAGCAGAAAUGAAUCCAGGAGUUCCCGUCGUGGCGCAGUGGUUAACGAAUCCAACUAGGAACCAUGAGGUUGCGGGUUCAAUCCCUGGCCUUGCCCAGCGGGUUAAGGAUCCCGAGUUGCCAUGAGCUGUGGUGUAGGUUGCAGACGUGGCUCGGAUCCCGCUGGCUGUGGCUGUGGUGUAGGCCGGCAGCUGUAGCUCUGAUUAGACCCUUAGACUGGGAACCUCCACAUGCUGUGGGUGUGGCCCAAAAAAGAAAGAAAAAAACCAAAGUGCUUUUCAACCCCAAACUCAGCAUGUCGCAUGAGGAGAAAGCACUUGAAGCCCAUCAGACAUGUGUGCGUAAAUGGCUCAGCACGACGCCGCGCACACACUCAGCAGCUGUGAACUUCCGCUGCUGUCCUUUCUCCUCCGAGGGCUCCUUCAAGAUGUUAGCUGAUGGGCUUUGCUCUUCUCUGCAAAGAUGAGAAGAGCAAACACACCUCGUUUCGCUACGCUUCGUGGGACGAAAAAAUUGCAUGUUUGUGCACGUGGACGUCCUGUGGCAGCCCCACGUUUGGCGAGACCAUCAGCGCCAUUGCCCCAACAGCAUUAUUUUAUUUCUUCGUUUUGUUUUGUUGGUGGAUUUUUUUGGGGGGUGCUCACACCUACAGCAUGUGGAAGUUCUCAGGCCGGGGAUCAAACCCGAGCCAUUGCAGAGACGAUGCUGGAUCCUUAAUUCGCUGCACCACAGAACUCCAGCAAGCGGAACUUUUACAUACACUGCGAAACCAAAAACCGUCCCAUGACCUGUGUGUCAGGACCUGGAUGGUGAGGACGGGCCUGAAGAUCCGGAGCAGUGAGAUCUGGGGACCCGGCUGCAGGCCUGUGUCUCACGAGCAACGUGGCUGAGAGGAGAAAAGCGGGGCCCCGUGCAGAGCAGCCCCCGCGAAGCUGCCAGGAGCCGGCCGCCUGCUCCCCCCAAGGCCUGCCUCCUGCUCACCUGAGCUCCCUGGGUGACUGCAGGAUGAGGGCCUGGACUCCUGGGGCCUAGGCGGUCAUCUGGGCAGAGCAGAGCCUCUCAUCCCCGAACGAAGGGACAGCCCAGCUGGAACACGGACGCCCUGUCCCCAGAGAGCAUCAGUGAGGGCGGGGUCCCCUCGCACGUUGCCGUGGGCGCAUAGGGAGGUGCGGCCACUUUGGAAAACAGCCUGGUGGUUUCUCAGCGCUCAACAUAGACUCACCAUAUAAGCAAGCAGUUCUCUCUCUCUCUCCCUCUAUAAUUUUUUUGGGUCAUGACUGCGGCAUGUAGAAGUUCCCAGGCCAGGGAUUAAACCCAGGCCACAGCGGUGACAACCACUUAACCCCACUAGGCCAACCAGGGAACUCGCCGAGCAAGCAAUUCUACUCCAAGGUGUGCACGGGAGAAACGGCCGCAUCCAUCCACACAAAACCUUGUCACGGUGUCGGAGUUCCUGCUGCGGCGCAGCGGCAUUGGCAGCCUCUUGGGAGCACCGGGACCCAGGUUCACUCCCCAGCCCGGCACAGUGG